GUGAGAGUUACCGGGGAGAGGAGGACACCGGGAGAAACGAGCUGCCGCUGCUGCCCCUCUGAGAUGCCAGUGAUGAGUCCUCACCGGGAAACCAGGCGCUAAAAGCUGCUGCAACCUGACCGCUGGAUGCUUGAAAGUUUUUUUUUUUUUUUUGCUUCUUUACUGGAUAAAACCACCGAGAGAGAGGGACAGGUGUCACCCGCCCGUCUCCCCCCUCUUCCUUCUCUGGUGGACUGUAUAGCACUCUACUUUUCUUGUCUUUCCUUGGUGCACAGAGCUGGACUUCUCUGAGCCAUGCUGUGGACACGGUGGCUCGUCCUGCUGCUCUGCUGGGGCACCACCGGCGGAGAGCAGCGGCCGGAUGAGAGGGACGCCGCACCGGCUGUGGGCCGGUUGGACUCCCGCAGGCAGCGCUCCCCUCCUCCGGUGGAGCCGCUGGAUUUUGGGUUCGUACCUGCGGCGGUAUAUAAUACCCACGCUUACUACGAGCCAGGGAGCAUAGGGGUCCUCUUCCACAUGGUCCACGCGUUUCUCUACGUUGUUCAACCCAACUCCUUCCCCAAAGAUCUUAUUGUUAGAGUCAUUCAGCAAAACAUGGGGGGAAUCAAAAUAGAGGAAUGGAGAAAGCCAGACAACGUCGUCCUGUUGCUACAGUGGAUCUACUACGAGGCCGGAUUCCUUGUAUGUACGACCAUCGGCGUCCUGUUUGUGGUCCUCACCCCCAUCAUAGCCACGUGUUUCUGUGUGUGUCGGUGCUGUGAGAACUGCGGAGGGGAGAUGCAUCAGAGACAGAGGAAAAACGCCGACUGUCACCGAGGUUUCUACACCGCCUCGCUCAUCGCCGCCUCUAUCUUCAUCACCAUGGGAGUACUCAUUGCUUAUGCAGCCAAUCAUAAUGUCAGCACCCAGAUCAAGGGCACUCGGCGGCUCAUCAAUACCAACCUGAGAGACCUGAAGAUAUUUGCUAACAACACACCUGCGCAAAUUGAAUACCUGACAGCCCAGUACACCACAGCAAAGAACAAAGUCCUGUCAGACCUUGACAACAUUGGACCUUUGCUGGGUGGUAGGAUCCACAGUCAGCUGGAGAAGGAUGUGAUUCCCUCUCUGGACUCUGCACUGCGUAUGGCCGGAGCAAAAGUUGAGAGUGCCAUCAAAGCGAUGCGGGAGACCAAAGAGGCUCUGGAGAAUGUCAGCUCCUCCUUGGAGGUGCUGCAAGAGGGGAUGGGGAAGCUUCAGGCCAGUCUCUCAUCAGAGCGCGCCUCUCUAUCUAACACCCUGUCUGACCCUGCCUGCACCAACGGAGCUGUGUCCCACACUUGUAACACCAUCCGCUCUACACUCGCCCAGCUAGGAAUCAGCGCUGACUAUUCCAAGCUUCCAGAUGUAAGUCAUGCUUUGGGCAAUGUUAAUACCGUCCUGAGAACAGACCUCAGCAACAUUGUACAAAAGGGUUACUCGUCCUUUAAUGACACUCCAAGACUGGUUAAAGAGCAAACUAAAAACAUUGUCUCAGCUCUGCCUCGCGUAAAAGGCAUGCUGGAUAAGAUUGGAGCAGAGAUCACCGGCUUCUCCAAGAUGUUCCCAGUGGAAGCCUCUCUAGCCAACUUCACUAUUUUCCUCAACGAAAGACAGAGGAGCAUCGAGGCCCUUUACCCACAGAUGGACCAGAUGGAUUUCUACAGGUGGAUCGGAUGUGUCGGGGUGCUCUGCAUGGUCGUCCUGGUCCUGGCCUUCAACAUUCUCGGUCUGCUGUGCGGCACCUGUGGCUACGACAAGCAAGCUACGCCCACAACCCGCGGCUGCAUGUCAAACACCGGAGGAAACCUGCUGAUGGCUGGGGUGGGCUUCUCAUUUCUCUUCGCCUGGGUGCUGAUGGCGUUAGUCACUACUCUGUUUGUGGUUGGCGGCAACGUGGAGAAGCUGAUGUGUGAACCUCUGGCAAACCGACAGCUGUUCAAGAUCAUAGACACACCGUUUCUGGUCCAUCCCGAAAAAAAGAACUUCCUUCCUGGGAUGCUGUUUCAGAAUCCAAACAUUGACCUGACUUUGGGGAGCAUGUAUAGGGACUGCUAUGAGAACAACGGUCUGUAUCACGCUCUGCAGCUGGAAACCAUGUUCAACAUUAAUUCUUUCCUCAACAGAACUGUGUACAACAAGGAUCUGGCCAAAGUGUUGGAAAGUGUGCAGGUGGAUCUGCAGGACAUCACCCUGCUGGAGCAGAGUGGCAGAGACAACCUCAUCAGCUUCGCCAACUCUGGAAUUGGACAGAUUGACUAUAAUGCUUAUCUUGCUGAGGUAAAUAAGGGAGUCACUCUUGUAGAUCUUCUGUCCUUCUCUACUAACCUGGAAGAUCAGGCCGACCAGCUGCCACGUGGUGCUCUGGAGAACGCACUGAAGGGUCACGCCAGCAGCAUCAGAAACAUUCACAGAGAACAGGUUGUGCCCAUGGAGCAAGCAAUGAAAUAUGUCAAAGCGCGGAGCACGCUGAGCCAGAGCAUCAAACAACUUCAGAGGACUUCCGGUGAUCUGCCAGUGAAGGUCACUAAUGUCCUGAGUGCCAUCGAUGCAGCAGAGUACCUCAUCGUUCAUAACGCCUCCCAUGUGGUGAAGCAGGAAACACAGGGCUACACACAGACCUUAGCGGGAUACUUCAAACAGUACACGGAAUGGGUUAAAAACUCGCUAACUGCAGAGGUGGCCCAGUGUAAACCCAUCAGCAACAUUGUGGACAGCAUGGAGAUAGUAGCAUGCAGCUUCAUCCUCGACUCCGUGAACACGUUCUGGUUCGGUCUGGGAGCUUGCUGCAUCUUUCUGAUCCCCAGCAUCAUCUUCUCUGUCAAACUGGCCAAGUAUUACAGAAGGAUGGACACAGAGGACGUCUUUGAAGACUCUCCCUACUCUGACACUCUGACCCGGUUCCCUCGGGCCUCAGCUCCCCCAAUGUGCUCUGAAUGGUGACUCACAGGACGUUUUCCCCGACGACAAGUGGCCAGGAGAACUGGAACUGAUCUUCCCUUCAUGGAUCACUGGACUUUUCAGCUUUUCAGAGUCAGGUCUGACACUUCCGAGGACAAAAGGGAAGGAAAAAGAACAAUCAGGAGCUGUGUGGUGAGGGCAUCUCACCUCCCAGACCUCAUUCAGGCCAUUCGACCUCUGACCUCUGAUGCCAGCCAACUGUACACCUAUGAAGUGUUCUCUCAUUCACAGCAGCAUCCAGUCAUUGCAGUCCCUCUAGCUUUUCAUUCUGUUCAAUCAACUGACUGAGCAUUAUUUCUGCAUAGUUAGUUUUACCUGUAGAGGAUGAAUUUGUACCUACAUUAUCAGUUUUAACACGGUGACUCAAGUGUACAUUUUUUACGCUUUCAAAACUUUUGAAAGUUUUAUAUAUUUUUAUUAAUCUUUGUUUUAUAACAUGUAAGUUAUAGUUUUUGUAGUAGUAGUAGCGCAUCAUUUUUUUUUCUCUCUUUGAAUAUUUUUAAAAAUGGCUUGCGUCAUUUUGGUUCAACAGAUUGCACUGACCAGGCAGACUUCAAAGUAAUGGUUUAACAUUUUGGAAGCACGAAGAUACCACUGUGAAAUAUGUACCAUGUUGGAUAAAUACAAGCAGCUAAUUAGCUUAGCUUAGCUUAGCAAAGAGACAAAACUAAGUGAAACAGUCUCACUCACUGUGCUUUAAGCUACUGCAAAUGCUAAUGUAUGCUAACUCGCUCACAAUGACGAUGCUAACAUGCUGGUUUAAUGUCUACGUCUUUCUUUAGCAUGCUGUUUAACAUACUGCUAAUUAGCACAGUAUGUUGUAAACCAACCUAGUGAGCAGCUUGGUGAAAUGACUCAAUAUUGGCGCCGCAAAAAGUCUGAUGAUUAAAACAGUUUUUUAUCCUCUAAGCACUGUGAA